ACGGAAGGCAGCAGUGGGGAAUAUUGCACAAUGGGGGAAACCCUGAUGCAGCGACGCCGCGUGGGUGAAGAAGUUUUUCGGAAUGUAAAGCCCUAUCAGCAGGGAAGAUAAUGACGGUACCUGACUAAGAAGCCCCGGCUAACUACGUGCCAGCAGCCGCGGUAAUACGUAUGGUGCAAGCGUUAUCCGGAUUUACUGGGUGUAAAGGGAGCGUAGACGGCAUAGCAAGCCAGAUGUGAAAUGCGGGGGCUCAACCCCUGAACUGCAUUUGGAACUGUUAAGCUAGAGUAUCGGAGAGGUAAGUGGAAUUCCUAGCGUAGCGGUGAAAUGCGUAGAUAUUAGGAGGAACACCAGUGGCGAAGGCGGCUUACUGGACGAUAACUGACGUUGAGGCUCGAAAGCGUGGGGAGCAAACAGGAUUAGAUACCCUGGUA
rnacentral:rRNA from 1 species